rnacentral:rRNA from 1 species
UACGUAGGGUGCGAGCGUUAAUCGGAAUUACUGGGCGUAAAGCGUGCGCAGGCGGUUCGUUGUGUCGGUGGUGAAAGCCCCGGGCUUAACCUGGGAAUGGCCAUGGAAACUGGCGAACUGGAGUGUGGCAGAGGGGGGUGGAAUUCCGCGGUGUAGCAGUGAAAUGCGUAGAGAUGCGGAGGAACACCGAUGGCGAAGGCAGCCCCCUGGGCUAGCACUGACGCCUCAGGCACGAAAGCGUGGGGAGCAAACAGG